GUGCAUCGAGAAGAACGCAGCGRAAUGCGAUACUUAGUGUGAAUUGCAGAAUCCCGUGAGUCAUCCAGUCUUUGAAUGCAAGUUGCGCCCGAGGCUUCGAACGAGGGCACGUCUGCCUGGGUGUCGCACACAAUCGAAUCGCCCCAUUUGCCUGCGUGCGGGCGGUGGAGGGGAGCUGGCUGUCCGUGUCCCUUGUGACACCGUCGGCUUAACCGGAUUGGGCUCUCGUUGUCGGGCAUCGGCGAGCGGUGGUUCGGUCGUCCUGGCCGAUCGAUACGCGACACCGUAAGUGCACGGCACGCGGGGAAGGCCCUCCUCGACUUGAUCACUCGGGAGGCCUAGGCUUCGGCCGGAGUUCCUUCCGUCCACGUCACGCGACCCCAGGUCAGGCGAGASCACCCGCUGAGUUUAAAGCAUAA
rnacentral:rRNA from 1 species